rnacentral:rRNA from 1 species
AUUGAACGCUGGCGGCAUGCUUUACACAUGCAAGUCGAACGGCAGCGCGGGCUUCGGCCUGGCGGCGAGUGGCGAACGGGUGAGUAAUGCAUCGGAACGUGCCCAGUAGUGGGGGAUAGCCCGGCGAAAGCCGGAUUAAUACCGCAUACGACCUGAGGGUGAAAGCGGGGGACCGAAAGGCCUCGCGCUAUUGGAGCGGCCGAUGCCGGAUUAGCUAGUUGGUGGGGUAAAGGCUUACCAAGGCGACGAUCCGUAGCUGGUCUGAGAGGACGACCAGCCACCCUGGGACUGAGACACGGCCCAGGCUCCUACGGGAGGCAGCAGUGGGGAAUGUUGGACAAUGGGGGCAACCCUGAUCCAGCCAUGCCGCGUGCGGGAAGAAGGCCUUCGGGUUGUAAACCGCUUUUGUUCGGGAAGAAAUCCUCUGGGCUAAUACCCCGGGGGGAUGACGGUACCGGAAGAAUAAGCACCGGCUAACUACGUG